GAUGAACGUUGGCGGCGUGCUUAACACAUGCAAGUCGAACGCAGAUAGCAAUAUUUGAGUGGCGCACGGGUGAGUAACACGUAGCUUACCUACCCUGGAGAGUGGGAUAACGGUUCGAAAGAGCUGCUAAUACCGCAUAAGCUCACGAGCUCUAGAGGCUUGGGAGAAAACGGGGAAACUCGCUUCAGGAGGGGCUGCGGCCCAUCAGCUAGUUGGUGAGGAAAGGCUUACCAAGGCGACGACGGGUAGGGGGACCU
rnacentral:rRNA from 1 species